GAAAGAAAGGUGCCUGCCUGCUACAGCCGAUUAAGCAGAAAUAGGGACAUCUUUUUGAGGAGGGACAGAUCCUCAACAGGUGGAGGAGUUUGGAAACUGUUUUGCUGAACGCUCCUCUCUGUUGACUGUUAGGCCCAGUGCAAUGAAAAGUUGGAGCAGUUGAAUGGAUUCCUCUACCUGUUGUAGCGACUUCCCUCAAACCAGCAAAUCAUCAAGUUAAGGAUGAACUAUUAUUCCAUCUUUUCUCAGCUAAACAGAUGCUGGUAUCCAGGUGAAAUUCACCACAGUGAAGGGAACACGCAAAAGGCCCUAUGCACCAUUAAAAACAUGCAUAAUAAAUAGCUCCAGUGGUAUGUCAGCCUUUACCCCAGUCCUGCACUUGUGUGAAUCACUGUUAAUGAUGAUAACAAUAGUUUCCAUAUGCCAUGAUGCUUGCUAAGUCUAAGCUUAGCCAAGGCUGCCAACUUUAAGUCAGUGUUUGUCAGAUGACACAAGAAUUGUAAAUUAUCUGUCUUGCUCAUACAAGAAACCAAACCCAAGCAUCUUGCCACUGUUGUUGCUAGUUUUCUGCCAUGUUGUAAUCUCACUGUGUUCUAUGCCUGAGGAUAAUGUGAUUAUGAGGUGCCAUUUUCUGAUGAUAGAGUCUUGC